GGCGUGUGACUGCGUACCUUUUGUAUAAUGGGUCAGCGACUUAUAUUCUGUAGCAAGGUUAACCGAAUAGGGGAGCCGAAGGGAAACCGAGUCUUAACUGGGCGUUAAGUUGCAGGGUAUAGACCCGAAACCCGGUGAUCUAGCCAUGGGCAGGUUGAAGGUUGGGUAACACUAACUGGAGGACCGAACCGACUAAUGUUGAAAAAUUAGCGGAUGACUUGUGGCUGGGGGUGAAAGGCCAAUCAAACCGGGAGAUAGCUGGUUCUCCCCGAAAGCUAUUUAGGUAGCGCCUCGUGAAUUCAUCUCCGGGGGUAGAGCACUGUUUCGGCAAGGGGGUCAUCCCGACUUACCAACCCGAUGCAAACUGCGAAUACCGGAGAAUGUUAUCACGGGAGACACACGGCGGGUGCUAACGUCCGUCGUGAAGAGGGAAACAACCCAGACCGCCAGCUAAGGUCCCAAAGUCAUGGUUAAGUGGGAAACGAUGUGGGAAGGCCCAGACAGCCAGGAUGUUGGCUUAGAAGCAGCCAUCAUUUAAAGAAAGCGUAAUAGCUCACUGGUCGAGUCGGCCUGCGCGGAAGAUGUAACGGGGCUAAACCAUGCACCGAAGCUGCGGCAGCGACGCUUAUGCGUUGUUGGGUAGGGGAGCGUUCUGUAAGCCUGUGAAGGUGUGCUGUGAGGCAUGCUGGAGGUAUCAGAAGUGCGAAUGCUGACAUAAGUAACGAUAAAGCGGGUGAAAAGCCCGCUCGCCGGAAGACCAAGGGUUCCUGUCCAACGUUAAUCGGGGCAGGGUGAGUCGACCCCUAAGGCGAGGCCGAAAGGCGUAGUCGAUGGGAAACAGGUUAAUAUUCCUGUACUUGGUGUUACUGCGAAGGGGGGACGGAGAAGGCUAUGUUGGCCGGGCGACGGUUGUCCCGGUUUAAGCGUGUAGGCUGGUUUUCCAGGCAAAUCCGGAAAAUCAAGGCUGAGGCGUGAUGACGAGGCACUACGGUGCUGAAGCAACAAAUGCCCUGCUUCCAGGAAAAGCCUCUAAGCAUCAGGUAACAUCAAAUCGUACCCCAAACCGACACAGGUGGUCAGGUAGAGAAUACCAAGGCGCUUGAGAGAACUCGGGUGAAGGAACUAGGCAAAAUGGUGCCGUAACUUCGGGAGAAGGCACGCUGAUAUGUAGGUGAAGUCCCUCGCGGAUGGAGCUGAAAUCAGUCGAAGAUACCAGCUGGCUGCAACUGUUUAUUAAAAACACAGCACUGUGCAAACACGAAAGUGGACGUAUACGGUGUGACGCCUGCCCGGUGCCGGAAGGUUAAUUGAUGGGGU
rnacentral:rRNA from 1 species